rnacentral:rRNA from 1 species
AGGCAACCUGCCUGUAAGACUGGGAUAACUACCGGAAACGGUAGCUAAUACCGGAUAGCUGGUUUUCUCGCAUGAGAGAAUCAUGAAAGACGGAGCAAUCUGUCACUUAUGGAUGGGCCUGCGGCGCAUUAGCUAGUUGGUGAGGUAAUGGCUCACCAAGGCGACGAUGCGUAGCCGACCUGAGAGGGUGAACGGCCACACUGGGACUGAGACACGGCCCAGACUCCUACGGGAGGCAGCAGUAGGGAAUCUUCCGCAAUGGACGAAAGUCUGACGGAGCAACGCCGCGUGAGUGAUGAAGGUUUUUGGAUCGUAAAGCUCUGUUGCCAGGGAAGAACGUCUUAGAGAGUAACUGCUCUAAGAGUGACGGUACCUGAGAAGAAAGCCCCGGCUAACUACGUGCCAGCAGCCGCGGUAAUACGUAGGGGGCAAGCGUUGUCCGGAAUUAUUGGGCGUAAAGCGCGCGCAGGCGGCUAUGUAAGUCUGGUGUAUAACCUCGGGGCUCAACCCCGGGUCGCACUGGAAACUGUGUAGCUUGAGUACAGAAGAGGAGAGUGGAAUUCCACGU